CGUAAUAUUUAUUCGUACACAUUUUGUAUACACUGAUACACAGAACUUCAAAUACCUACCUGUUGCCAGUAUAGUCAUCGAUUGUUGAAUAUCUAACAGAUACACAGCUCGUCGUGGAUUUUCUGAUGAGAAAUAGGUAAUUAAUUAAACGUUUCAAGUUAAAAUUUCAUAAGUUACAUAAUCCACAAACCUUCGUCGCGUGAUGCUCGGUGGAACAAAUAAUGUGCUCAUGACCACGAAUAAUCAGAAUAUGUGUAACAGUAACCCACGGUUUCGCCGAUAACGCCAACACCGAAGAACGUGUAACAAGUGGCACGUGCGACCCUAGAACAACGGACUCCGUUUCGAUUCCAUUUCGACGAAGUUUAAACGAACAUUUUUUUUUUCGUUACCCAAAACACUAAAAUUCCUCCAAACAUCAAAACGUAUUCACCGCUCUAUCAUUUGUCUACAACAGUUUUUAAAUUAUUGAUUCGUUUUAAGACAAAGAACUUACACAUAUUCAUAUCUUUCUACGGUAAUACCCGUACGGUAUCGACUCAUAAGGAACUUAAUAUGUAUGAGUAUGGCGAAAAAUGAAAAUAAAUUCAACACUUCAACCCGCACCGUAUUGUUUUUAUCUUAUUAUCGACGGUU